CCAUAUACUUUACCCUUCCUCCAAGCAUCAGAAUACUUUGAAACCCCAUUCACUAUCUCAGAUGGAGUCUUCUGUUCUACAUUCUU